rfam:Firmicutes bacterium CAG:114 genomic scaffold, scf191
GGAGGGAUCUCUGGAGAAUCUCAAUAUUUUGAGUACCGAAGGUGCAAGGCUUCCCAGGAAGCCGAAUCUCUCAGGUAAAAGGACAGAGCCGAGCAU